rnacentral:lncRNA from 1 species
UAAUUCUGCAGUCACUUAUUGAAGUGCUGCGUUUUGGCCCUGCAAAACGAAAUGUUUUGAUUGGCUCCCAGCCAAUAAAACAGUAACAUGGCCAAUCAUCUCAAAUUUUCUGAGUUUUCAAAACCCUAGGGUUUAAGCAUGGUUUGGCAACUUAUCUUCAAGCAAAUCCAACAAAACAAAAUCAACUAACAGCAGCAUGCAACAUAACAAUCAUACAAUAAUCAAGCAUCUACGACCCAACACAACAAACAUGCAAGUUCUG